CCGGGGGGUCCAGCACUAUUAGCUGAAAAUCAAGCAAAGGAAAAAACAUUGAGCAUUUUCAUUAUCCAAAAGGGAGUUGGACAAUUCAUUUAUGAACCAAAGACCAAAACCUAAUAGAGCUAGAUUCAAAGAAAACCCACUGGGGAUUAAUUUUAAUUAUAAGUGGUUAGAUGAAAUAAUUCCAAAAUAAAAUAUUACCAAAUCUAAUCUAAAAGCACACACAAGGAAUUGUCCCAUGAUCAAGUAAGGUUGUUUUGGGAAUGCAAGGAUGGUUCGGCAUCAGAAAGCUGAUUGAUAACUCAUCCCAUCAGAAGUCAGAGAGAAAAAGGAUCAAUUCUCUACAUGCUGAAAAUGCCUUUGCCAAAAUCCAAGGUGUUAUUUCUGGUAAUACCUCUUAGAAACAGAAGGAAACUGUGUUAACAUGAUAAAGAUGAUCUCUUCAAGCCAAGAGCCAUCAUCCUCCCAUUAACAGUCAGGAACAAGGGCCAGUUCUCUGUCCCCAGGACCAGCCAGUUACCAACAACUCCACAGAAUGGACAGCUUCCCUGUGCAGAGCCUGAUACACCAACCAAGCCUCUCACUGGACAUCAAAAAUCUGAAUCAGCAUAAGCAAGGGCAGGCAAAACAUUGUCCAGAUGUCAGUCUUCCCCUAAGUUAACACAAAAAUUUAUUGCAAUUUCAACUGAAAUCUCCACGGUGUUUUUGGAAGGAAUUUGUCCAAUGACUUAAAAGAUUACUUGGAAGAAUUAAAUGCUUGAGAAUAGCAAAGAACAUUUUUUUAAAAGGAGGCAGAAUAAGGGAUGCAAUGUGUUCACCCAAACAGUGACUAUCUCAUAUGACACCACUAACUAGAGAGAGUGGACUGAUGCUGGGCAAACAGGAAUGGAGCAGAACGCCCAGAAAGAACGAGUACAAAGACAAAGGCUUCCAUUUGAUAAAGAGUCUUUGACAUCACUGAGAAAAUGAAGGAUUCAACAAAUAAUGGGGAGAAAUGUUACAUCCCAAUCUAAUAUCUAUCAAAACAAAUUAUAGGCUGGGCGUGGUGGCUCACAACUGUAAUCCCAGCACUUUGGGAGGCUGAGGCAGGCAGAUCACAAGGUCAGGAGAUCAAGACCAUCCUGGCUACUAUGGUGAAACCCCAUCUCUACUAAAAAUACAAAAAAUUUGCCACCUGUAGUCCCAGCUACUCGGGAGGGUGAGGUAGGAGAAUGGCGUGAACCCGGGAGGCAGAGCUUGCAGUGAGCCGAGAUCACACCACUGCACUCCAGACUGGGCAACAGAGCGAGACUCCGUCUCAAAAACAAAAACAAAACAAAACAAAAACCCCUCUUUCCCUGCCGCCGCAGAGUCGCGCGGAGGCGGAGGCUUGGGUGCGUUCAAGAUUCCGCUUCACCCGUAACCCACCACCAUGGCCGAGGAAGGCAUUGCUGCUGGAAGUGUAAUGGACGUUAAUACUGCUUUACAAGAGGUGCUGAAGACCGCCCUCAUCCACGAUGGCCUAGCACGUGGAAUUCGCGAAGCUGCCAAAGCCUUAGACAAGCGCCAAGCCCAUCUUUGUGUGCUUGCAUCUAACUGUGAUGAGCCUAUGUAUGUCAAGUUGGUGGAGGCCCUUUGUGCUGAACACCAGAUCAACCUAAUUAAGGUUGAUGACAACAAGAAACUAGGAGAAUGGGUAGGCCUCUGUAAAAUUGACAGAGAGGGGAAACCCCGUAAAAUGGUUGGUUGCAGUUGUGUAGUAGUUAAGGACUAUGGAAAGGAGUCUCAGGCCAAGGAUGUUAUCGAAGAGUACUUCAAAUGCAAGAAAUGAAUAAAUCAAUCUUUGGCUCACAAAAAAAAAAAAAAAAAAA